GAUUAGUUCCUUUAAUACUAGGGGCCCCUGAUAUAGCAUUCCCACGAAUAAAUAAUAUAAGAUUUUGAUUACUACCCCCUUCCCUAUCUCUUUUAAUCUUAAGAAGAGUAAUUGAAAGAGGAGCUGGAACUGGUUGAACAGUUUAUCCCCCCUUAUCUGCUAAUAUUGCACACAGAGGAUCUUCUGUUGAUCUUGUAAUUUUCAGACUUCAUUUAGCUGGAAUUUCAUCAAUCUUAGGUGCAGUAAAUUUUAUUUCAACAAUUAUUAACAUACGCCCAUUAAAUAUAAUAUUUGAUCAAAUACCUCUCUUUGUAUGGGCUGUAUUAAUUACAGCUAUCCUACUUCUGUUAAGAUUACCAGUUUUAGCAGGAGCAAUUACUAUACUA
rnacentral:rRNA from 1 species